rfam:Gossypium raimondii chromosome 3, whole genome shotgun sequence.
GCCGAGCCUGGUAGCGCAAGCUUGUGACCCAAGUGGGGGCUUUUAGGUCAUGGAACACGAGUUCUACUCUUUGAGUCGGUUCCACAAUGGUUUGACUCAGGCUUGCCCGUUCCAAGCCGAGAGUUGGACCAAGGGGCACGAGCGUAGGCUUGUGCGUCGCGGUUCUUAGAGUGGGGGAUAACAGGCCUGAUCUAUCCAGGCGAUAUGUGAUUUGAACCUGCAGCAAACACCUCCGGCUCUUGACAGUGAAAGGAUAACAGGCCUGACACUCCUCUCGAAUUCCAAACUGAGCAAGUAGGAAUCAAUUCGAGCAUACCAGGCUCGAG